AGAUGAAGAGAGACUGAGACUCAGACAGAGUCAAGCAGUUGCCCAAGGCCGCAGAGUUGACCCCACCACUCUGAUUGCAAGGAUGAGUUUGUGACUGAGAUCUGGCCCAUCACAGUAAAGCAUACUUUGGAUCCAGGCUGAAGGAUCACCUUCCAUCUGUGACAUGUCAGGAUAUAGCCAAAAAUCAAACAGCAAGCAUAGAACCAUGGGGUGGCUCUCAAGAUUCUGCUUGGACAUUGCCUACAUAACUCCCACUCCAAUUCCAUCAGCC